GACGAACGCUGGCGGCGUGCCUAAUACAUGCAAGUCGAACGCAGUGGGGACGGGUGAGUAACACGUGGGUAACCUCCCAUCAGAGGGGAUAACACUUGGAAACAGGUGCUAAACCGAUACUGAUGGAUGGACCCGCGGUGCAUUAGCUAGUUGGGGAGGUAACGGCUCACCAAGGCCACGAUGCAUAGCCGGCCUGAGAGGGUGAUCGGCCACACUGGAACUGAGACACGGCCCAGACUCCUACGGGAGGCAGCAGUAGGGAAUCUUCGACAAUGGACGAAAGUCUGAUCGAGCAACGCCGCGUGAGUGAAGAAGGUUUUCGGAUCGUAAAACUCUGUAGGUAGAGAGGCGGUACCUAACCAGAAAGCAACGGCUAACUACGUGCCAGCAGCCGCGGUAAUUC
rnacentral:rRNA from 1 species